GAUGAACGCUGGCGGCGUGCCUAAUACAUGCAAGUCGGACGGAGCGCUUCGGCGCUCAGUGGCGAACGGGUGAGUAGCACAUGGGCAACCUGCCCUUCAGAGGGGGACAACAGCUGGAAACGGCUGCUAAGACCGCAUAGGCGUAUGGAAGGCAUCUUCGAUAUGUUAAAGGGGCCACGGCCCUGGACAUGGAUGGACCUGCGGUGCAUUAGCCAGUUGGUGAGGUGACGGCCCACCAAGGCGACGAUGCAUAGCCGACCUGAGAGGGCGAACGGCCACAUUGGGACUGAGACACGGCCCAA
rnacentral:rRNA from 1 species